ACGCUUGUAACACCCUUCUUGAAAAGCACUUAUGCACAGAGCAACGGAUUUCUAAUCCGUAGGUCAGAGGUUCGAGUCCUCUCGGGCGUG
rnacentral:tRNA from 1 species